rnacentral:rRNA from 1 species
GACGAACGCUGGCGGUGUGCCUAACACAUGCAAGUCGAACGGCAAUGCCCUACUUUUUUGGUCUUCUGGAGUGCCGAUCGCGUGCGUAACACGUGAGUAUCCUGCUCUUCUCUUUCGUGUUACUUCACGUAACUCCGCUUACUCUCGUACAGCAUCCCCUCCACCAUUGUUGGCGUUGUAUCUUCUCGGCUUUUGCGGUUGGAUGCGCGGCUUACGUGCUUGUUGGUGGGGUAGUUGCUUACCCAGCCUGUGACGGGUCGACGGCCUGAGUGGGUGACCGGCGACAUUGGGACUGAGAUACGGCCGAGACUGCUGAGGGAGGCAGCAGUGGGGAAUAUUGAACAAUGGACGGAAGCCUGAUGAAGCAACGCCGCGUGCGGGAUGACGGCCUUCGGGUUGUAAAACGCUAGCGCCUGUGACGAAGGGUGAGUGAAGGUAAUGGGUAAAGAAACAACGGCUAAAUACGGG